UUACUAAAGAUGAUUAUGUGACAUUUGUUUGUCAGUCAGUAGAAGGAGGCAUAAUAUGUGGACUAAAGUUCAUGUUCAUGUACAUUUAUUUGAAUAUUUAUUUUUCCAGAAAAAAUCUGAAUUUGAGGCAAAUAUAUACUGUCAUGUAUAUAUAUAAGAUGGAUAAAGGACAUGAUACUUUAGCAGUGCUUCAGAGAAUCACAUUUGGUUACAGAAGUUUGUAGUAUUUUGAUUGUAAUCAAGUUAUUAAGCUGAAGCUUCAUAGUAAAACAGAUCUAGGCUACACCUUCACUAUUCAAGUCAGACUUUAAAAGGAAGCCUUUUUUGUUGAUAGCUGAACAUAUGAAGAAACUUUCAAAAGAGUGGAGCAUUUAGAAGACGGAACAAUCAAAUAUUAUUUGUUACUAUUUCAGUAACUUUUCAAAUGUUAACUGUUUAGAAUAUUCUUAAAUAUAAAUAUAAUUGAAUUUAAUGUGGAAAGUGUUUUGUUUUUUUUAACAUUUGGUAACAUAUGCCUCUGUUAGGGACAAUUUUUU